rnacentral:piRNA from 1 species
CCGCCAUCGUGUGUCGUUCUCCUG